GCCCUGGCCGGGCGGUCUGCCUCACGGUAUGUACUGUCUGGCUGGGGCUUACCUCUUGGUGAGCUCGCAUGCCGUUUAUUCGGUGUGUGAGGGAACCAGGACUUUUACUUUGAAGAAAUCAGAGUGUUCAAAGCAGGCUUAUGCCCGAAUGUGUUAGCAUGGAAUAAUAGAAUAGGACGA
rnacentral:rRNA from 1 species